rnacentral:rRNA from 1 species
UACGGGGGGGGUAAGCGUUGCUCGGAAUCACUGGGCGUAAAGCGCACGUAGGCGGAUUGUUAAGUCAGGGGUGAAAUCCUGGAGCUCAACUCCAGAACUGCCUUUGAUACUGGCGAUCUCGAGUCCGGGAGAGGUGAGUGGAACUGCGAGUGUAGAGGUGAAAUUCGUAGAUAUUCGCAAGAACACCAGUGGCGAAGGCGGCUCACUGGCCCGGUACUGACGCUGAGGUGCGAAAGCGUGGGGAGCAAACAGG